rnacentral:tRNA from 1 species
CAACGGAAAGCCAAAAUAGAGGCAUUUAACUGUUAAUUAAAUUAAUGAAGUUUUCUUCUCUGUUGG